rnacentral:rRNA from 1 species
GACAGAGGGUGCGAACGUUGUUCGGAAUUACUGGGCGUAAGGCGCGUGUAGGCGGCAGCGCAAGUCGGGCGUGAAAUCCCACGGCUCAACCGUGGAAGUGCACUCGAAACUGCGCAGCUAGAGUCCUGGAGAGGAAGGUGGAAUGCUUGGUGUAGAGGUGAAAUUCGUAGAUAUCGGGAGGAACACCAGUGGCGAAGGCGGCCAUCUGGACGGCUAUUGACGCUGAGACGCGAAAGCAUGGGGAGCAAACAGG